AUUAAAAACCAAAAAAAAAU
rnacentral:sRNA from 1 species